rnacentral:rRNA from 1 species
CAAACUGGGAUUAGAUACCCCACUAUGCCUAGCCCUAAACCCAAAUAGUUACAUAACAAAACUAUUCGCCAGAGUACUACUCGCAACUGCCUAAAACUCAAAGGACUUGGCGGUGCUUCACAUCCACCUAGAGGAGCCUGUUCUAUAAUCGAUAAACCCCGAUAGACCUUACCAACCCUUGCCAAUUCAGCCUAUAUACCGCC